AAGAAAUGACCCUUUCCCGUAAACCCCGAGAUCUCCGCCCCUUUUGUAAAGAGAAAAACUGAGAAAUAAAACAACACAAGAAUUUAACGUGGAAACCCAAAACCGGGAAAAAACCACAACCGUUGUCAAAAGACAACAACCGACCACUAUGUGAAAAUCUUACAAUCACAUAAACCUUAGUACUUUCUCCUAACAAAAAUUGUUAGAAAUACAUUUGGUUUGGUACAUUUGAAAACAUAACUUAAG
rnacentral:lncRNA from 1 species